rnacentral:rRNA from 1 species
UACGAAGGGGGCGAGCGUUGUUCGGAAUUACUGGGCGUAAAGGGCGCGUAGGCGGCGACUCAAGUUAGAUGUGAAAGUCCUGGGCUUAACCUGGGGACUGCAUUUGAUACUGGGUUGCUUGAAUUCGGGAGAGGAUAGCGGAAUUCCCAGUGUAGAGGUGAAAUUCGUAGAUAUUGGGAAGAACACCGGUGGCGAAGGCGGCUAUCUGGACCGACAUUGACGCUGAGGCGCGAAAGCGUGGAGAGCAAACAGG